rnacentral:rRNA from 1 species
UACGGAGGGAGCUAGCGUUGUUCGGAUUUACUGGGCGUAAAGGGCGCGUAGGCGGCCACCGCAAGUCGACUGUGAAAUCUCCGGGCUUAACCCGGAAAGGUCAGCCGAUACUGCGGGGCUAGAGUGCAGAAGGGGCAACUGGAAUUCUCGGUGUAGCGGUGAAAUGCGUAGAUAUCGAGAGGAACACCUGCGGCGAAGGCGGGUUGCUGGGCUGACACUGACGCUGAUGCGCGAAAGCUAGGGGAGCGAACGGG